rnacentral:rRNA from 1 species
UACGAAGGGGACUAGCGUUGUUCGGAAUCACUGGGCGUAAAACGCUUGUAGGCGGCCACGCCAAGUCGGAUGUGAAAUCUCCCGGCUUAACUGGGAGGGGUCAUGCGAUACUGGCGGGCUCGAGGCAGGUAGGGGGAAGCGGAAUUCCCGGUGUAGUGGUGGAAUGCGUAGAUAUCGGGAAGAACAUCGGUGGGCGAAGGCGCUCUGCUGGACCAUAACUGACACUCAGGGACGAAAGCUAGGGGAGCGAAUGGG